rnacentral:rRNA from 1 species
CGGACGGGUGAGUAACGCGUGGGUAACCUGCCCCAUACAGGGGAUAACAGUUAGAAAUGACUGCUAAUACCGCAUAAGCGCACUGCAUCGCAUGAUGGAGUGUGAAAAACUGAGGUGGUAUGGGAUGGGCCCGCGUCUGAUUAGCCAGUUGGCGGGGUAACGGCCCACCAAAGCGACGAUCAGUAGCCGACCUGAGAGGGUGACCGGCCACAUUGGGACUGAGACACGGCCCAAACUCCUACGGAAGGCAGCAG